UAAGGGUGUAUGAUCAUUGCAGAGCCCUAGAGGGCAGGUGUGUGCAGGGGUCUGGACACAGAGAAUGGCCGACACCCUGUUUCCUGGCAACUGAUGGCCUGGGCCCUUCCCCCCCUGCAAGGUGAGAGCUGAAGGGUUGGAGAACAAAGGAAUCAGGUGACCACCUGGCCCAGGAAAGGGACAAAGCCCAG